GUGAGGAAUUUUCCGCAAUGGGCGAAAGCCUGACGGAGCAAUGCCGCGUGAAGGAUGAAGGCCUAUGGGUUGUAAACUUCUUUUCUCAGAAAAGAAUUAUGACGGUAUCUGAGGAAUAAGCAUCGGCUAACUCUGUGCCAGCAGCCGCGGUAAGACAGAGGAUGCAAGCGUUAUCCGGAAUGAUUGGGCGUAAAGCGUCUGUAGGUUGUUUAAAAAGUAUUCUGUCAAAUAUUAGGGCUUAACCCUAGAUAGGCAGAAUAAACUUUUAAGCUAGAGUUUGGUAGAGGCAGAGGGAAUUCCCGGUGCAGCGGUGAAAUGCGUAGAUAUCGGGAGGAACACCAAAGGCGAAGGCACUCUGCUGGGCCAAUACUAACACUGAGAGACGAAAGCGAGGGGAGCAAAUGGGAUUAGAUACCCCAGUAGUCC
rnacentral:rRNA from 1 species